ensembl:lncRNA
AUGGAGAAAUGUAGAUGUACACGAGAGACACCAGCUCACACACAAAAUGGAGAGGAGAGCAGAGACAGAGUGAGAAAGGAAAGAAGGAAUGAGGUGCAAGAAAGUGAAAUCAACAUAGCAGACUUUGGUCUCAUGUUCCUCUUCAAAAACCAAGAUUCAAAAAUAUUAGUGAUAUUAUUUUUCGUGGUAUGUCUGAUUGGUUUGCAUACUUUUUUGGAGACCAGAUAUGUCAAAAACCAAUGAGACGACCAAAUGGAGUUUGGGGUGGGGUAAAAGGGGAAAGGGGAAAAUCCCAUGUGCUUUGUGUCUUCCUCUAAUCCUUCUCUCCUCCCUCUAUGUCUGUGUUUGACUGGUUAAUCCUUCACUCUGUUCAGGCCUGCUGGAUUCUGAAUGGGUGAUUUAAAACUGGCAACUGUUCUGUGUAACUGAUGGACCUCCAGCCUGUGACUGUCUGUCUGCUUUUUACACUGGUGUUGGAUUGUUGAAUUAGGAAUCGCAAGUUAUGUCUUACGAAACGGAAAGUAUACUGGUUCUAAAAUCUAAGUUGAGCUAUUAUAAAAUGGAAACAUAUGCACACCUGUCUCUGCGCAUUAGUUGAAUUUGAGAUUAAAAUAGUAAGUCUACAUAUCUACUAUAUAUCUCAAACGUUUUGAUUUCAGGGACCCCAAAAUGAUGAACCCAUUUGCAAGAGGCCCCCUUCCUAAAAUAUGAUACCAGCAAUAUGCUAUAAUUUUAUGUAUAAAGACCCAUUAAUACUAUAUGUGACCCUGGACCUGGACUUAAGUCGCUGGGGUAUAGUUUUAGCAAUAGCCAAAAAACCAUUGUAUGGGUCAAAAUUAUUGAUUUUUCUUUUAUGCCAAAAAUCAUUAGGAUAUUAAGUAUAGAAGAUGUUACAUGAAGAUAUUUUGUAAAUUUCCUACCAUAAAUAUAUCAAAACUUAAUUUUUGAUUAUUAAUAUGCAUUGUUAAGAAUUCAUUUGGACAAAUACAAAGGCGAUUUUCUCAGUAUUUAGAUUUUUUUGCACCCUCACAUUCCAGAUAUUCAAAUAGUUGUAUCUGGGCCAAAUAUAGUCCUAUCCUAAUAAACCAUACAUCAAUGGAAAACUUAUUUAUUCAGCUUUCAGAUGAUGUAUAAAUCACAAUUUAGAGAAUAUUUACUUUAAGUUUUCAGUUUUUUUUUUUUUUUUUUUUUUACCUACUAUUAAUUUUAGAUGUAUAUUUUUUACAGAUACUACUGUUUUGUAAAAACUAAAUAAGAAAAAAAAAAAAGCUUAUAUAAUUGUACAUUGUUGUGAAUUUAAAACAAUUAAUGACAUUUUAGGAGCUACAUUUUCUAAAAAUAGCCUUUAAUCAUGACAAAAUAACAGUAAAAUACAGCAUCUACUGGUUACUGGUUUAUUUUACCAUGGAAAUUACUUUGUCCACCAGAUAAAUAUUAAUAUGUUGGUUAAACAUGAUUAGUAUACAGUAUGUGACCCUGGACCACAAAACCAGUCAUAAGUAGCAUGGGUAUAUUUGUAGAAAUUGCCAAUAGUACAUUUACUUAAUAUACAAAAUCAUUAGUAUAUUAAGUAAACAUCAUGUUCCAUGAAGAUAUUUUGUAAAUUUGUAAACUUAAUUUAACUUAAUUUUUGAUUAGUAUUAUGCAUGGCUAAGAACUUCAUUUGGACAACUUUAAAGGCGAUUUUCUUAAUGUGUGUGUAUAUAUAUAUAUAUUUAUGUGUGUAUGUUUAUGUGUAUAUAUAUGUAUAUAAUUUAUUUAUUUUUUCCAAGUAGCUGUAUCUCAGCCAAAUAUUGUCAUAUCCUAACAAACCAUACAUCAAUGGAACGCUUAUUUACUCAGCUUUUUUCAUGAAAUUGACACUUAUGACUGGUUUUGUGGUCCAAAAUCACAUAUACUGUAUGUAUUAUAAUGUAUUCCCUCCUCACUGAGCAAAAUAAUAAUAAUACUGGCAAACAUACCAAGCUUGUUUAUAUGCUCUCUCUCUCUCUCUCAUUCAGUUCUUUUCCUUUAUGUAACCUGCUUGUCACUGAUGUGAUUUGUACAAGCAACAAAUUUCAGCGAAUACAACAUGAUUUAAAUGUUUCUGUCAACACUGAGCCAGGUUCUGGGAGCACACAAUGCAUCUUAUGAUGAGGAAACAAAUGUUGUAGCUACGAAUGAAAGCCUCCGGUUCUGCCACCUGACACCAAUAGAAAAAAAAAGAAAAUAGAAGAGGGACACCCUUAUAAAUCUUUUUGAUUCACAGAAUUCAAAUUUGAACUGAAAAGAGAGGAAUUUAACAGGAAUGUUAUAGUAGAGUUUCCCACACACUUGUACAGUACAGUGGAGCUAUUAGACAGGGCAAAAGAUGACUGUGAUGAGUGUUUGUUAACGAAAUUACCCUAUGAUUGCUUUAUUUCUUACCAAAGCCUUUGGAAGCACAUUAAUGAGCUCAGUGCUUAUCCACACGACCAUCGGGGGACAAAUCCAAUUUCGCCUGUAAAAUAAUGACAGCCCCUUCUUGGACAUCAAAAGAGACAGGCCAAAUUACAGCCAACACUUGAUCAUCUGCUUCAAAAUGACCAUGCAUUUCUCUAGAGGGAGGCUAAAACCAGCUUUGAUAGUUUGCCUCUGGACAAGAAUGAAUUUGUGGUAGAGAACUACAGAUGCUGUUAUUAUGUAGAGAAUGCCCUACACUUGAGGAUUUCCAGUUGGGGACUGGAUUAAGGUAAGUGUUUAUGAUUUAUGGUUUUAAAUAUAAAAUUGUUCAUUUACUACUAGUGAACUUUAACAGAAUGUACCGAGAGCUUUGUGCCUUUUUGCAAUUCUUGAUGCAUUGAGCAAGUACUGGGAUUUUCUUUUGAUCUUAAACAGUACAUUUUAAACCUUUUUUCUUGAUACAUUUUUUUUAAAAAUGGUUUUUAAAAUAAGUAUCUUUUACACUAAUGCAUUUAUUUGAAAAUACAGUAAAAAAAAAAAAUAGUGCAGCAUUUUAGUAGCUAUUUUCAAUAGUAGCUGAUUAUUUGUUAUUUUGAAGCAACUUUGUUCCAGUCUUCAAUGUCACUUUACCCUGCAAAAACCAUUCCGAUAUGCUGAUUUACUGCUCGAGAAACAUUUCUUAUUAUUAUCAAAGUUGAAAACAGUUGUGCUGCUUAAUAUUUUGUGGGAACCAUACUGCAUUUUCUUUUCUUUGAAUGUCAAGUUCAUUUGAACUGCAUUUAUUUGAAAUAGAGAUCUUUUUGUAACAAUGUAAAUAUCUUUACUGUCACUAUUGAUCAAUUGAUUAAUUAAAGAUUUGAUUUCUAAACAGAACACUAAUUGAACCCAACUUUUGAACAUUGUACUAAGUGGUUUAUAUUGAUGGAACUCUGCUUUGUGUUGUGCUUCAGAACAUCCCACAACUGUGCUAAAUUCACCUCUUGUGGCUUAUUACUUUGGUAUUCAGCACUGCAUCAAAAACACUUACUACAUCUCAUGGCAGAAGAGCAAAUAAAAGUCAUUCCAC